UACAGAGGGUGCAAACGUUGCUCGGAAUUACUGGGCGUAAAGCGCGUGUAGGCGGUUUCGCGAGUCCGAUGUGAAAGCCCGGGGCUCAACCCCGGAAGUGCAUUGGAUACUACGAAGCUUGAGUGCUGGAGAGGAGAGCGGAAUUCCCGGUGUAGAGGUGAAAUUCGUAGAUAUCGGGAGGAACACCAGUGGCGAAGGCGGCUCUCUGGACAGACACUGACGCUGAUACGCGAAAGCAUGGGGAUCAAACAGG
rnacentral:rRNA from 1 species